rnacentral:rRNA from 1 species
CCUACGGGGGGCAGCAGUGGGGAAUAUUGCACAAUGGGCGAAAGCCUGAUGCAGCGACGCCGCGUGAAGGAUGAAGUAUUUCGGUAUGUAAACUUCUAUCAGCAGGGAAGAUAAUGACGGUACCUGACUAAGAAGCCCCGGCUAACUACGUGCCAGCAGCCGCGGUAAUACGUAGGGGGCAAGCGUUAUCCGGAUUUACUGGGUGUAAAGGGAGCGUAGACGGAAAUGCAAGUCUGAUGUGAAAGCUCGGGGCUCAACCCCGGGACUGCAUUGGAAACUGUGUAUCUAGAGUGUUGGAGAGGUAAGUGGAAUUCCUAGUGUAGAGGUGAAAUUCGUAGAUAUUAGGAGGAACAUCUGUGGCGAAGGCGACUUACUGGACAAUAACUGACGUUGAGGCUCGAAAGCGUGGGGAGCAAACAGGAUUAGAUACCC